GUUAGAAUAUAGUUAAGAUGGCUAACUGAUAACUUGAUGUGUCUCCCUGUUACCUCUACGAUGUCAAGUCUGUGCUGAAUUCAUUAAAGAGCACUGUUCCUUGAUGAGGACUGGUUUAUUACCAGCCGCUGCUACAUUUUGGCGACGAGUAACCCUGCCUGUUUUUUCAGCUUAGUUUUUUGCUGAGUCAUCAUGGCUGCAAACGUCCAUCCACAGCCCAUGUUUUUGCCUUGCCCUGGAGAUCCUGCUUUGCCCUUCAACAUGUGGAUGUGUAUGUUCAACAAUUAUUUGCUUGUGAUCACUGCAACAGGGAAUGAAGCAUGAAGAAGAGCUACUUUACUCCACUGCUUAGGAACAGAGGGACAGAGGAUUUUCUACUCACUGCCAAAUACAGGUGAUACCUUCGCCUCUGCUGUUACUGCCCUAGAAGAACACUUUUCACCCAAGAUUCACUUUGUCUAAUGCUGGUCACACUGGGAGGAGACUUACGGACUGGCGAGGAGAAGCCGUCAGAGCUGGCUGAAGUAGUCCUCCGGUGAUUGCCUCAGAUGAGACGCAGGUGGUUUGUAUUUUCACUUAUCCAGGAGCACUUCUUUGAUGCAGCAAGUGGCACAGGAUACAUUUCUUUCAGUUUCUGAAAACUGUCCAAAGAAAGAUUCGUUGUGGAUCUCCAACACAACCUAAUAGGUUGACAGACAGUUCUUCAGGUGGUCCAAAUCUCGAAAGGACUGAAUGUUAUACACCAGCUUGAUGGUGAUGCUUGCAAGGAGGUCGUGUCUUUGCUCAACCAUACUACAGACAACUCUGUGAUUUUCCAGAAGAUUAAAGAGACCAUUCAGCACUAUUGGAGGCUUGUUAAUGACCCAAGCAGAAGCGUUGGUAUCCUAUCCACUUUUCCAAGAUUCCUGGAUACAAAAGGAAUGGUGGAGCAAAACUUCACUCCUGUUCGCUGAUGACACAUCCUCCAGGUUGCUUCAGAAAUGAAAGACAUUCUUCAGGCCAAAUGCCAUAAAAGAGGCUGAAAAGCUCACUUUAACACCCUUUAACAAACCUUUGAACAAGAAAUGGCAUUGCUGUUGUUGUUGCUACAUCUUCUUCCACCACCACCAGGAGGACAAAGGUCUCCAAAAAUCAGCGCGAGUGAUGCAAGUCAGAGACUUGUAGUCUUUCAUAAGUCAUGCUGGAGUCUGGAAGAGCAUCUCUGCAAUCAACAAGGUCGGCAACCAUACCUCCUCGCUGUCAGGCAAAAGAAGAGCAAGACUGACACACACCAGGCGAGCCACUCACUCGGGGCAUUUGAUGAACUUUUCAAAGCACAUUUUGUGUUUAACUUGUCCCAAGUGAAUAUAAAGCUGGACCUGUUAUUUGCAGUGCAGUGGAAGAAGACACGCCUGUCUUUCGCCAAAUAAGUGACUUACUUUUGGUUGAAGAUAAUUUUUUUUUUUAUGGGAAACAGGUUGUUUACAGAGUGUUUUGAUAACCAUCUAUGCAUGCUGAGCAGAGAUGCAUAGUGAAUAUGUCAGAUCUAAAGUUUUAUAAAUCUUUUGACAUGCAAAGGUCAUACAAUGUUUCAGAUGAGACAGUGUACAUUGUACCGUCAUUCACAAUUGUUUGAAGACACAAUAAAUGUCCUUUUGGGGAAUAUUUAUUUUGUGGAAUU